UCUCUCCCUCCCUCUUUUCUUCCCUCCCUCAUUGCUUCUCCCUUUGUCUUGCCUUCUGAAGUGUACCCCAUCAGUACACUUGGCAGGAUAGGAUAGGUUCCUGUCCUACUGGUUCUGCUCUCUGAAGAACCUUGACUGAUAAGCCUCCAGCAAACCCUCCAUGCCUUGCCAUGUCACAGUUUAUAUCAAAGGGUGGUAACCCCAGCCACUCUAGAGACUGAAGCAGGAGCGCCAGGAGUUCAAGACCUGAUUAGGCUUCAGAGUGAGUUCAAUGCCAGCCUGGGCCAUUUAACAACACCCUGUCUCAAACUAACAAGCAAAAGAGAGAGAUACAAUUCAAUCUUGGAGCCCUUGCCUGGCAUACAUGGAGACCUGGGCUCCAGACCCUUGGAUGAGUGAAUCUCCUGCUUUCUUCCUCUUACAGCCCAGCUGCUGUGCUUUGAGAGAGCCUGGCGUCAUGGAGACUAAGGAGGUGAGAUGUCCAGUGAUCUGGUCAUAAGCUCCCCCACUGCAGCUUAGCACCGUCUUACAUGUUCCAAAAUCAGGGAGGCAAAGCUCCAACAGCUGACCUUGUUUCUGAGCCUGUCUUUUCCAACCACCAAGUUCUCAUGGAAACACACAUGCAAAUUGCCAUGUCUCAGAAGCGUUGCAUUCCCGCAGCAUAGAAGGGCUUGGAUGCGGCUGUGCAGUUCCACAGGGUGGCACACGGGACAAGACGCAGCUGUGCAAGCAUGGUAAUUAGGAAGGACUACAGCUCGCACCGGCUUUCUCCAGCUUCUUUGCCCUCUAAGAAGGGAGGGUUCUUGCCCUGUGGUUGCCAGCACCUGGACUUCCCUUUUGGCAGAAUCUGAGCAAUGGGCAGAUUUUCCUAAGAAAAACAAUUCAGGCGAGGAGGGGCACAAGAUCAGACUGUACUCCGAGGAGCACAAAUGGGGGCGUCAGGUUGCCAGGAGAGACUGGAGAGAGAGAGAAUGUGAGAGGAAGACAAAUGUGGAGAGAAGACAGUGGACUGUCAGCCACUGACAUGAGUGGGAGACCCCGAGCCAGGUGUCAGCAAUCAGCCGAUGGCAUCUGUGAGCAGACGGAGAUUCUGAACACAACCUUAUUUCUGAGGGUAUCACCCCGUCCCUGUCAGGGCUGAUGCUGGCUGGAGACUUCCUUCAGAGACUUUCAAGAGUCAAAGCGGAUCAAAUGUUAGCGCCGACAAAAUGAACAAAAAUGGAGACGAAUGGCCCUAAUUUUACCCAAAUGCCUAUCAAUCCGUGAGAGGACAUUUCCAGUUGUGACUUAAUACAGAACAUCACAAAAUUCUGGGUCACCAGGUGAGGAGUGUUGGACUGGAACUUCCAGCUCCUGCAAAAGCCCGUUCCUGUCUCUCCAAACCCCACCCUCUCAGAGAAUCUGCACAAAAAGGAAGGCUUCAAAAAGCCCAGUUUGGAUUCUUGGUGCCCACAGUAGCUCCUUCUCCAAACUCCACCUAAAGUUUGCCAGCUUGUGGAGAACAAGUCAUCACCCCUCAGCUACAGGGUAGGUAAGAAGCCUGCUUUAAUUCGGUCAUGUGAUUUCUCCUGCCCCUACUCCCACCUUGAUCUCUGGAGAUGGAGAACUCACCCGGAAGUUGCUUUGCUCAAAAUAAACCUGAUCUUUUACUUUUUCAAUUCGGUUUGGUCCGGCUUAUGGCAUUGGCAGAGACACCUACUAUCAAGGUACAGAAAUCCUAUUGAGGAGGUAUGAGCCUGUAACCCCAGGACUUGAGAAUCUGCACCAGGGCAUCGUGCACUCCAGGCCAGUCUGAGGCACUCUGGAAGGCAGUAAGGUCCUUUCUUAAGAAAACAAAUGAAAGUCGCUGUUUCUCCAAUAGCAUUGACAGAAAUCCAGAUAUGCUCUGGGGUGUGGUGGGGAAAUGUAUCGAGAAGAACACAGUCAUGUUUCCAGUGAUUUUUAAGUGAGAAAGAUAGCGGGUUUCUCUGUAUUUACUUUACGGGAGGAUGUGUAUGCUAGCGUGGGUCUGUUUGCUGCCGUUUCCGUCGACAUUGUGCAAAAGCUGAACCAUGCUGGUCUCUAGCUAUACUUUGUCUUCGCAACUGCAUUACUUAAAUCCUACCUAUAUAACUCAUAAAAACAAUAACCUUUUUGUUUAAAUCUCAUGUUUCAAGAGAAAACAGGAGGUCUCAACAUCUUUCUUACCCCUAAAUACAUAUUUUGUCUUCCUGAUGUGUGUGCUCAGCUACAUGAAAAAACCUCAGGUGACAUUUCAGUGUUGACAAUCAUGUAUCCACAGACAAUUCAGUAUUGACAAUCAUGUAUCCACGGGCUUCUUGAGAUUGACAUAUAAUUUGGCAACACUGUUUUAACUUUUUUUUUUUUUCCAGAAAGAAGAGUAAAACCUGUAAUUAGAAAAAAGUCAUGUUGACUCUUUGUGUUGAUUUGGAACAAGGGUGAGAGGGGCUGGUUUUGUUGACAGUUCAAAGGUGGUGGAGCAGAGGCCAUGGAUCAACACCAGCAGGCUGGUCUAGCCCACAGGCUUCUUGUUGGUUUGCACAGGGCCCUCUCCCACCCUCAGCUGCAUUCAGUUCUCUUUCGACACAGCUCCCUGUGGUCAUGACUGCUCAUUGCCUGCCUCACCUUCCUAGACAGUUUUCCCACUGAGCCUUGGUGAGAGCGAUAGGUUCGGUAAGUCAGUCACUGGAAGACCUUCAGGAUGGCCAAGGAGGAAGCAGGAAGAGGGUGGGGAUACAGCACUUGGUCAGAGUGCACAGACCUUCACCUUCAGUUGACAGGACCUCCCAUCUCCACCAGAGUAAAUGAAUAAAUAAGAACAAAACCCCUACAAAACAACUUGA